rnacentral:rRNA from 1 species
GACGAACGCUGGCGGCGUGCCUAAUACAUGCAAGUCGAACGCUUCUUUCCUCCCGAGUGCUUGCACUCAUUUGGAAAGAGGAGUGGCGGACGGGUGAGUAACACGUGGGUAACCUACCCAUCAGAGGGGGAUAACACUUGGAAACAGGUGCUAAUACCGCAUAACAGUUUAUGCCGCAUGGCAUAAGAGUGAAAGGCGCUUUCGGGUGUCACUGAUGGAUGGACCCGCGGUGCAUUAGCUAGUUGGUGAGGUAACGGCUCACCAAGGCCACGAUGCAUAGCCGACCUGAGAGGGUGAUCGGCCACACUGGGACUGAGACACGGCCCAGACUCCUACGGGAGGCAGCAGUAGGGAAUCUUCGGCAAUGGACGAAAGUCUGACCGAGCAACGCCGCGUGAGUGAAGAAGGUUUUCGGAUCGUAAAACUCUGUUGUUAGAGAAGAACAAGGACGUUAGUAACUGAACGUCC